CUGGAUGAAGAACAGAUCCACCCAAACACACUCCGUAAGAUAUAUUCGCUUGUUCAGAUCGGUGGCAUACAACAAGCUCACAUUGUCCGACACUGAGAAGAAACAAUCAUGAGGGUCUUCGUUGUCCUCCUGCUGCUGGCGCUGUUGGCCAUAACUGCUUGUGUCAUGGCUGCUGAAGUCGAAAAGAUGGAGCUGCCCAAGAAUGGAUAUCCACCGAGCCUCCAAUCAGAGCAGCUCGCGAACUCAAACCUACGAGGCAUCCGAUCACAGAGUCUAGGGCCCCC